rnacentral:rRNA from 1 species
GAUGAACGCUGGCGGCGUGCUUAACACAUGCAAGUCGAACGAAGCACCUUGAUUCGUUUCUUCGGAUGAAGAUCUUGGGGACUGAGUGGCGGACGGGUGAGUAACGCGUGGGUAACCUGCCUCAUACAGGGGGAUAACAGUUAGAAAUGACUGCUAAUACCGCAUAAGACCACAGCACCGCAUGGUGCAGGGGUAAAAACUCCGGUGGUAUGAGAUGGACCCGCGUCUGAUUAGGUAGUUGGUGGGGUAACGGCGUACCAAGCCGACGAACAGUAGCCGACCGGAAAGAGUGACAAUAUAAGUUCGAACAGAGACACGGCGCAAAGUCGUACGGGAGGCAGCAGUGGGGAAUAUUGAACGAAGAAGAAAACCCUGAUGAGGCUAAGCCGCGUGAGUGAUGAAGUAUUUCGGUAUGUAAAGCUCUAUCAGCAGGGAAGAAAAUGACGGUACCGGAGUAAGAAGAACCGGCUAAAUACGUG